rnacentral:rRNA from 1 species
CCUACGAGUGGCAGCAGUGAGGAAUAUUGGUCAAUGGACGAGAGUCUGAACCAGCCCAGUAGCGUGAAGGAUGACUGCCCUAUGGGUUGUAAACUUCUUUUAUAUGGGAAUAAACUGUUCCACGUGUGGGAUUCUGUAUGUACCAUAUGAAUAAGGAUCGGCUAACUCCGUGCCAGCAGCCGCGGUAAUACGGAGGAUUCGAUCGUUAUCCGGAUUUCUUGGGUUUAAAGGGAGCGUAGGAUGAUUGUUAAGUGAGUUGUGAAAGUUUGCGGGUCAACCGUAAAAUUGCAGUUGAAACUGGCAGUCUUGUGUACAGUAGAGGUGGGCGGAAAUCGAGGUGUAGCGGUGGAAUGCUUAGAUAUCACUAAGAACUACGAUUGCGAAGGCAGUUCAAUGGACUGCAACUGACACUGAGGCUCGAAAGUGUGGGUAUCAAACCGGAAUAAGAACCCUUGUAGUC